GGCUCGGUAGCUUAGUUAGCAAAGCACUGGUCUAGCAUACGAGAGUCGUGAGUUCGAAUCCCAUCUGAGCAC
rnacentral:tRNA from 1 species